rnacentral:rRNA from 1 species
AUUGAACGCUGGCGGCAGGCCUAACACAUGCAAGUCGAGCGGAUGAAGGGAGCUUGCUCCUGGAUUCAGCGGCGGACGGGUGAGUAAUGCCUAGGAAUCUGCCUGGUAGUGGGGGAUAACGUCCGGAAACGGGCGCUAAUACCGCAUACGUCCUGAGGGAGAAAGUGGGGGAUCUUCGGACCUCACGCUAUCAGAUGAGCCUAGGUCGGAUUAGCUAGUUGGUGGGGUAAAGGCCUACCAAGGCGACGAUCCGUAACUGGUCUGAGAGGAUGAUCAGUCAGAGUGGAAUUGAGACACGGGCCAGACUCCGUCGGGAGGCAGCAGUGGGGAAUAUUGGAAAAUGGGCGAAAGCCUGAUCCAGCCAUGCCGCGUGUGUGAAGAAGGUCUUCGGAUUGUAAAGCACUUUAAGUUGGGAGGAAGGGCAGUAAGUUAAUACCUUGCUGUUUUGACGUUACCAACAGAAUAAGCACCGGCUAACUUCGUG